rnacentral:rRNA from 1 species
GACGAACGCUGGCGGCGUGCUUAACUCAUGCAAGUCGAACGGAAAGGCCCUGCUUUUGUGGGGUGCUCGAGUGGCGAACGGGUGAGUAACACGUGAGUAACCUGCCCUUGACUUUGGGAUAACUUCAGGAAACUGGGGCUAAUACCGGAUAGGAGCUCCUGCUGCAUGGUGGGGGUUGGAAAGUUUCGGCGGUUGGGGAUGGACUCGCGGCUUAUCAGCUUGUUGGUGGGGUAGUGGCUUACCAAGGCUUUGACGGGUAGCCGGCCUGAGAGGGUGACCGGCCACAUUGGGACUGAGAUACGGCCCAGACUCCUACGGGAGGCAGCAGUGGGGAAUAUUGCACAAUGGGCGGAAGCCUGAUGCAGCAACGCCGCGUGCGGGAUGACGGCCUUCGGGUUGUAAACCGCUUUCGCCUGUGACGAAGCGUGAGUGACGGUAAUGGGUAAAGAAGCACCGGCGAACUACGU